rnacentral:rRNA from 1 species
UACGUAGGGGGCUAGCGUUGUCCGGAAUCAUUGGGCGUAAAGAGCGUGUAGGCGGCCCGGUAAGUCCGCUGUGAAAGUCGGGGGCUCAACCCUCGAAUGCCGGUGGAUACUGUCGGGCUAGAGUGCGGAAGAGGCGAGUGGAAUUCCUGGUGUAGCGGUGAAAUGCGCAGAUAUCAGGAGGAACACCGAUUGCGAAGGCAGCUCGCUACACGAAUAUUGACUCUGAGGCACGAAAGCGUGGGGAUCAAACAGG